CAUAGGUUAAUGAGGCGAACCGGGGGAACUGAAACAUCUAAGUACCCCGAGGAAAAGAAAUCAACCGAGAUUCCCCCAGUAGCGGCGAGCGAACGGGGAGCAGCCCAGAGCCUGAAUCAGUGUGUGUGUUAGUGGAAGCGUCUGGAAAGGCGCGCGAUACAGGGUGACAGCCCCGUACACAAAAAUGCACAUGCUGUGAGCUCGAUGAGUAGGGCGGGACACGUGGUAUCCUGUCUGAAUAUGGGGGGACCAUCCUCCAAGGCUAAAUACUCCUGACUGACCGAUAGUGAACCAGUACCGUGAGGGAAAGGCGAAAAGAACCCCGGCGAGGGGAGUGAAAAAGAACCUGAAACCGUGUACGUACAAGCAGUGGGAGCACGCUUAGGCGUGUGACUGCGUACCUUUUGUAUAAUGGGUCAGCGACUUAUAUUCUGUAGCAAGGUUAACCGAAUAGGGGAGCCGAAGGGAAACCGAGUCUUAACUGGGCGUUAAGUUGCAGGGUAUAGACCCGAAACCCGGUGAUCUAGCCAUGGGCAGGUUGAAGGUUGGGUAACACUAACUGGAGGACCGAACCGACUAAUGUUGAAAAAUUAGCGGAUGACUUGUGGCUGGGGGUGAAAGGCCAAUCAAACCGGGAGAUAGCUGGUUCUCCCCGAAAGCUAUUUAGGUAGCGCCUCGUGAAUUCAUCUCCGGGGGUAGAGCACUGUUUCGGCAAGGGGGUCAUCCCGACUUACCAACCCGAUGCAAACUGCGAAUACCGGAGAAUGUUAUCACGGGAGACACACGGCGGGUGCUA
rnacentral:rRNA from 1 species